AUACGGAGGAUGCGAGCGUUAUCCGGAUUUAUUAGGUUUAAAGGGUGUGUAGGCGGUAUUUUAAGUCAGUGGUGAAAUCUCGGAGCUUAACUUCGAAACUGCCAUUGAUACUGGAAUACUUGAGUAUAGUUGAGGUAGGCGGAAUAUGUAAUGUAGCGGUGAAAUGCAUAGAUAUUACAUAGAACACCGAUUGCGAAGGCAGCUUACUAAACUAUUACUGACGCUGAUGCACGAAAGCGUGGGGAGCGAACAGGAUUAGAAACCCGAGUAGUCC
rnacentral:rRNA from 1 species